rnacentral:rRNA from 1 species
UACGUAGGAUGCAAGCGUUAUCCGGAUUUAUUGGGCGUAAAGGGUGCGUAGGUGGAUUGGUAAGUUUGCUGUUAAAGAUUGGGGCUCAACCCUGAAACUGCAGUGGAUACUGUUAGACUAGAGUAUGGAAGAGGUUAGCGGAAUUCCUAGUGUAGCGGUGAAAUGCGUAGAUAUUAGGAAGAACACCGGUGGCGAAGGCGGCUAACUGGGGUAUGACUGACGCUGAGGAACGAAAGUUUGGGUAGCGAAUGGG